CUGGGGCCUGGCAGGGCUGUGGGGUUGGGGUCAGACCUGGCUGUGGGGCAGGGAGGGUGCCCAGCACACGAGGUUUUCAGCCAGAACGCAGCAAGCAGCCGUGAACCGGUCCAACACCUUAAUUAAUGAAUUAAGGGGAAAUUAAAGGCGCGGGGGAAAGGCAGGGUGUCGCAGAGGCCCGUAAGCGCUCGGCCUCUGCCCAUUUUAGAGGUGGGAAAACCAAGGCAUGAGGAAGGCGUCCGGGGAGGGCAGACGUUGCACAUUGCUCUCGUCUGUGUUAUCCCUCCUCGUCACCAGCAUCUCCUGACAGGGCGAUUUUUUUAAUUAUUACUGUUAUUUUCUGCGUUUACAUACAGAGCAGCACAUGGAGAGGUUCAGAAGUGCUCGUUGCUCUCCGUCUGGCAGAUUUGGUUUACGAGCCGUUGUCUUCGUCGCAGCGCUUUUCGGUCCCUGCCGAAGGCUUUGCCCUGUCCUGGGAGUGACGGAUAACGCUGGGGCAGCAGAUCCGGCGUCGCUCCCAGCUCCGCGUGCCCCUCGCGUCUGGCAAGCUGCUACCGCUGCUCUUCUUCUUGCAUCUGCCUCGGCCGCGCCAGCUCCCGCUCUGUUUUAUAAAUAAACAUGCCUCAGCUACCAGGCUCCUUGCGCCGGCUCCUCUUGUCUUGCAGACACAAAAGCAGUCUGAAGCCCUGCCGGCCGCCUCCGGGAUUUCUCCUGCCUUCCUGCCCCCCGGCUCGGGACCCAGCGGGAGAGGGUGAAGUUGCUCCAGCCCCUCCAUCCCCUUCCUCCUGCCUCUUCUCCCAGCGAAGCUCACCGCCGGGACCGACGGAUCUUGGGGAAGAUGCCGGGGCUGAUGAACCGGACGACCCGCUGCUGCUCGCUGCCUCCGAGGUGACGUCGUGCAUCAGCGGCUAUGCGCUUGGGCUCACGGCCUCGCUCACCUACGCCAAUCCAGAGGCCCAGCCUUUCGAAGGCAAG